UGGGCCCAGCUGGAGUGGCACCUGAGAUGGAGCCAGGCCCUGGAGGCAGGAAUUCACUGGCACGGACUUCGAUGGGAUGGGAUAGGGCACUUAGUGGCCAGGCUGGUCAUUCUUACGACAGACGUCUGAGCCCUAGGAGAGACCAAAGAGACUCAUUAGGCAACCGAUCAAGCAGUCAAUCAGUCAAUCAACCAGGCAAGGCCAAGGACAACAGCCCUCCAAACUGGGGAGAAGGAGGGUUCACAUAACUUUGGAAAUUUUGUGGAUGUUUAAUCAAAAUGAAGAAACUCUGCCCUGCUUCAGAAGAG
rnacentral:lncRNA from 10 species